rnacentral:rRNA from 1 species
UACGAAGGGGGCUAGCGUUGCUCGGAAUCACUGGGCGUAAAGCGCACGUAGGCGGAUUGUUAAGUCAGGGGUGAAAUCCUGGAGCUCAACUCCAGAACUGCCUUUGAUACUGGCGAUCUUGAGUCCGGGAGAGGUGAGUGGAACUCCGAGUGUAGAGGUGAAAUGCGUAGAUAUCGGGAGGAAUACCAGUGGCGAAGGCGGCCUUCUGGACGGAUACUGACGCUGAGGCGCGAAAGCCAGGGGAGCAAACGGG